rnacentral:lncRNA from 1 species
UCGGACUUCGUCCCCGACUUUAAUUACAGGUAGAUCUCACCCCAAACUCCUACAAGGGCCGAGACUCCUCGACAAAUGAUCCCCAUCCGGGCUUCUACGAAAAUCAGACUCCGACCGAACUUCUAUAAGCGGGCAAAUAUCGUGCUCACGAAAUUCAGUAGCUGGACCCCUCCGGCGGAUGAACCUCUCCAGCGCCAUUCGGCAUCUACCGUCGGUCGACCCUCUGUUGAAGUCUGC